rnacentral:rRNA from 1 species
AUUGAACGCUGGCGGCAUGCCUUACACAUGCAAGUCGAACGGUAACGCGGGGGAACCUGGCGACGAGUGGCGAACGGGUGAGUAAUGCAUCGGAACGUGCCCAGUAGUGGGGGAUAGCCCGGCGAAAGCCGGAUUAAUACCGCAUACGACCUACGGGUGAAAGGGGGGGAUCGCAAGACCUCUCGCUAUUGGAGCGGCCGAUGUCAGAUUAGGUAGUUGGUGGGGUAAAAGCCUACCAAGCCGACGAUCUGUAGCUGGUCUGAGAGGACGACCGGCCACACUGGGACUGAGACCCGGCCCAGACUCCGACGGGGGGCAGCAGUGGGGAAUUUUGGACAAUGGGGGAAACCCUGAUCCAGCCAUGCCGCGUGCGGGAAGAAGGCCUUCGGGUUGUAAACCGCUUUUGUCAGGGAAGAAACGCUCUGGGCUAAUACCUUGGAGUAAUGACGGUACCUGAAGAAUAAGCACCGGCUAACUACGUGCCAGCCGCCGCCGUAAGAC